rnacentral:rRNA from 1 species
AGAGUUUGAUCCUGGCUCAGGAUGAACGUCGGCGGUGUGCCUAAUACAUGCAAGUCGUACGCACUGGCCCAACUGAUUGAUGGUGCUUGCACCUGAUUGACGUUGGAUCACCAGUGAGUGGCGGACGGGUGAGUAACACGUAGGUAACCUGCCCCGGAGCGGGGGAUAACAUUUGGAAACAGAUGCUAAUACCGCAUAACAACAAAAGCCACAUGGCUUUUGUUUGAAAGAUGGCUUUGGCUAUCACUCUGGGAUGGACCUGCGGUGCAUUAGCUAGUUGGUAAGGUAACGGCUUACCAAGGCGAUGAUGCAUAGCCGAGUUGAGAGACUGAUCGGCCACAAUGGAACUGAGACACGGUCCAUACUCCUACGGGAGGCAGCAGUAGGGAAUCUUCCACAAUGGGCGCAAGCCUGAUGGAGCAACACCGCGUGAGUGAAGAAGGGUUUCGGCUCGUAAAGCUCUGUUGUUGGAGAAGAACGUGCGUGAGAGUAACUGUUCACGCAGUGACGGUAUCCAACCAGAAAGUCACGGCUAACUACGUGCCAGCAGCCGCGGUAAUACGUAGGUGGCAAGCGUUAUCCGGAUUUAUUGGGCGUAAAGCGAGCGCAGGCGGUUGCUUAGGUCUGAUGUGAAAGCCUUCGGCUUAACCGAAGAAGUGCAUCGGAAACCGGGCGACUUGAGUGCAGAAGAGGACAGUGGAACUCCAUGUGUAGCGGUGGAAUGCGUAGAUAUAUGGAAGAACACCAGUGGCGAAGGCGGCUGUCUGGUCUGCAACUGACGCUGAGGCUCGAAAGCAUGGGUAGCGAACAGGAUUAGAUACCCUGGUAGUCCAUGCCGUAAACGAUGAGUGCUAGGUGGUGGAGGGUUGCCGCCCUUCAGGGCCGGAGCUAACGCAUUAAGCACUCCGCCUGGGGAGUACGACCGCAAGGUUGAAACUCAGAGGAAUUGACGGGGGCCCGCACAAGCGGUGGAGCAUGUGGUUUAAUUCGAAGCUACGCGAAGAACCUUACCAGGUCUUGACAUCUUGCGCUAACCUUAGAGAUAAGGCGUUCCCUUCGGGGACGCAAUGACAGGUGGUGCAUGGUCGUCGUCAGCUCGUGUCGUGAGAUGUUGGGUUAAGUCCCGCAACGAGCGCAACCCUUGUUACUAGUUGCCAGCAUUAAGUUGGGCACUCUAGUGAGACUGCCGGUGACAAACCGGAGGAAGGUGGGGACGACGUCAGAUCAUCAUGCCCCUUAUGACCUGGGCUACACACGUGCUACAAUGGACGGUACAACGAGUCGCAAGCUCGCGAGAGUAAGCUAAUCUCUUAAAGCCGUUCUCAGUUCGGACUGUAGGCUGCAACUCGCCUACACGAAGUCGGAAUCGCUAGUAAUCGCGGAUCAGCAUGCCG